rnacentral:rRNA from 1 species
AUUGAACGCUGGCGAACGCUUUACACAUGCAAGUCGAACGGUAACGCGGUGAGAAGCUUGCUUCUCACCGGCGACGAGUGGCGAACGGGUGAGUAAUACAUCGGAACGUGUCCGCUCGUGGGGGACAACCAGCCGAAAGGUUGGCUAAUACCGCAUGAGUUCUACGGAAGAAAGAGGGGGACCCGCAAGGGCCUCUCGCGAGCGGAGCGGCCGAUGACUGAUUAGCCGGUUGGUGAGGUAACGGCUCACCAAAGCAACGAUCAGUAGCUGGUCUGAGAGGACGACCAGCCACACUGGGACUGAGACACGGCCCAGACUCCUACGGGAGGCAGCAGUGGGGAAUUUUGGACAAUGGGCGCAAGCCUGAUCCAGCUAUUCCGCGUGUGGGAUGAAGGCCCUCGGGUUGUAAACCACUUUUGUAGAGAACGAAAAGACACCUUUUAAAAAAGGGUGUUGCUGACGGUACUCUAAGAAUAAGCACCGGCUAACUACGUGCCAGCAGCCGCGGUAAUACGUAGGGUGCGAGCGUUAAUCGGAAUUACUGGGCGUAAAGGGUGCGCAGGCGGUUGAGUAAGACAGAUGUGAAAUCCCCGAGCCUAACUCGGGAAUGGCAUAUGUGACUGCUCGACUAGAGUGUGUCAGAGGGAGGUGGAAUUCCACGUGUAGCAGUGAAAUGCGUAGAUAUGUGGAAGAACACCGAUGGCGAAGGCAGCCUCCU